GCGAGAUACCCUGGUGGUAUGUCUGUGCUAUGCACAAGGGACCGAGAUUACUGGAUGACAAAAUCUAAGAUCAUCUUUGAUGUCUUCGUCGAGGAGAUGGCACAACAGAGGGUUAUGAGGCAAUUUGGUCUUCUGCAGUUGGAGCUACCUCCCCCUAUAGAGAACCCGGUGCCAGCACACAUCCACAGGACGACAAGGAAGGGCAUGACCAGGACAACUGCUGACUGGCUAGUUAGACUAGAGCCGUAUGUUAUAGAAUGGGAGACAGCAAACACAAAUCUAUGGCACGAGAAUCACAAUUUCGAUCUCGAUGAAUUCAA